CUGAUUUGCUGGAAGGUGACAUGAUAGCUGGGAAGAACUUGGAAGACUUUCUAAGAAAUGUUGGGAUUAAGUCACCUAAAGAAGAGGUAGAGAAAAUUCUUCAAUCAGAUUUUGUUUCUGAAGAUAACAUGGUGAACAUUAAAGACUGUAUGAGGGCUUUGAGGGACACCCAGAAAUUUUCCAAUUAUAUUGCAUUGAAUGAGACUAUCAAUACAUUGGACUCCACGAAAGAAAAUUGUCAGUUUGACAAAGACAAAAAUCCAG
rnacentral:lncRNA from 1 species